UACGGAGGGUGCAAGCGUUGUCCGGAUUUAUUGGGUUUAAAGGGUGCGUAGGCGGCCUAUUAAGUCAGUGGUGAAAGCCUCCAGCUCAACUGGAGAACUGCCAUUGAUACUGAUAGGCUUGAGUACAGUCGAGGUAGGCGGAAUUGAUUGUGUAGCGGUGAAAUGCAUAGAUACAAUCAAGAACACCGAUUGCGUAGGCAGCUUACUAGGCUGUAACUGACGCUGAGGCACGAAAGCGUGGGGAGCGAACAGG
rnacentral:rRNA from 1 species